ACAAUCAAUAGAAAUUCGUGCCACACCUUUCGAAAAGUUUACGUGACUUCAGAGUCGAGUAAAAACUGACCAGAGGCAACAUUUAAUACUACUAACAAACACAUACGCAUGGAUGCAAAUAACCAGCAGUAGUAGGAGCAAAAUCACACAUUCACACAAAUUUUCAUAGAAUUUGUGUGUCUAAAUCGACUGACUGUGGUUCUUGGCAACGUUUGAGUACUGUGGUUUUGCUGGAUAUUUUAGAAAUUGCAGCAACAAAGAUUCUGGAAUGAAAGCACAGAUCAGCAAAGACCGACGAUACAAAUAAUAAUAACAAGACAAAAUAGUAAUGAAUGCCACCAACAAUACCAACAACAGCAACAACAUCAAAAAAUCAGUUCAUCAACUCGAUUUCGAGUUCGAGUUCAGUUCGAAGGCAUUGAAGUCAAUACAAUUUGGAAAAUAUUUGGUUGUAAAAUGCUGAAGUGAAGUAGAAACCACAGAGCAACCGAAGCGAGUGACAUUUUGUUAUUAUUCCAAUGAAGAAUGGUCACUGAGAUGUGUGUACAGUUGAAUGUUUAUACUGAAACCCGUAGAGGGAGUGCAGUGAAGUCUUGCAGCAUAGAGUGAGGAGUGUAAGGCAUAAAUAAAAGGCGGAAAUGCAUUGCAUUUUCAUAUGAGGCAAUUAAUCAGACUUAUUUGUACGGAAAAAAGUAUGCAACCGCUGCAAUGGUGCCAGUGCACACGUGCCACAUGGUGUUUGAAGGAAAAGUGUUUCGAGGGCACCGAUGACUAGGGAAAUCUGCUUUACUUUUUCUUUGCAAAAGCCGCAAAAUAAAAGUGUUUCAAAUAUGCUGAAAAGAAAGUAGAAUUUCGCGAGUUUUUCACAAUUGCACUUUGCGAUUCUUGCAUUGCGUCUGUAGUGGGGAGAAUUUCAGCUUCAAAAGCCAUAAAAAGGAGUUCUAUCCCUGCACCAUAGAGAAGUGCACCAUGUAGUGAAAGUAGUCAAUACCUGAAUUUCCUGCAU